GUUGCCUCGGCGGGUGGUCUUGNNNNNNNNNCAUCAUAACUCAUGUUUUAACGGUGUUGUCUGAGCUACAAGCGACGAAUCAAACUUUCAACAACGGAUCUCUUGGUUCUGGCAUCGAUGAAGAACGCAGCGAAAUGCGAUAAGUAGUGUGAAUUGCAGAAUUCAGUGAAUCAUCGAAUCUUUGAACGCACAUUGCGCCCCUUGGUAUCCCGAGGGGCAUGCCUGGUUCGAGCGUCAUUUCACCACUCAAGCCUGGCUUGGUGUUGGGCGACGUCCCCUUUGGGGACGUGCCUCGAAACGCUCGGCGGCGUGGCACCGGCAUUAAGCGUAUCAUAUUCUUUCGCUUUGAAAGUCGGGGCCCCCUCUGCCGGAAGACCUACU
rnacentral:rRNA from 1 species